GGAUGAACGCUAGCUACAGGCUUAACACAUGCAAGUCAGGGGCAGCAUGACUUAGCUUGCUAAGUUUGAUGGCGACCGGCGCACGGGUGAGUAACGCGUAUCCAACCUGCCCCGAGGUCAGGGGACAGCCCGGCGAAAGUCGGAUUAAUACCUGAUGGUCUCUUUUGAUGGCAUCUGAUGAGGAGUAAAGAUUCAUCGCCUUGGGAUGGGGAUGCGUAGGAUUAGGCAGCAGGCGGGUAACGGCCCACCUGGCCAUCGAUCCUUAGGGGUUCUGAGAGGAAGGUCCCCACACUGGUACUGAGACACGGACCAGACUCCUACGGGAGGCAGCAGUGAGGAAUAUUGGUCAAUGGGCGGAAGCCUGAACCAGCCAAGUAGCGUGCAGGAUGACUGCCCUAUGGGUUGUAAACUGCUUUUAUGCGGGGAUAAAGUGAGCCACGCGUGGCUUAUUGCAGGUACCGUAUGAAUAAGGACCGGCUAAUUCCGUGCC
rnacentral:rRNA from 1 species